rnacentral:rRNA from 1 species
CCUACGGGAGACAGCAGUGAGGAAUAUUGCUCAAUGGGCGCUAGCCUGAACCAGCCAAGUAGCGUGAAUGAUGACUGCCCUAUGGUUUGUAAACUUCUUUUAUGUGGGAAUAAAGUGCAGUAUGUAUACUACUAUGCAUUUACCUUAUGAAUAAGGAUCGGCUAACUCCGUGCCAGGAGCCGCGCUAAUACGGAGGAUUCGAGCGUUAUCCGGAUUUAAUGGGUUUAAAGGGAGCGUAGGCCGGUUGUUAAGUCAGUUGUGAACAUUCGGGGCUCAACCGUAAAAUUGCAUGUGAUACUGGCAUCCUUGAGUACCGUAGAGGUAGGUGGAAUUCGUGGUGUAGCGGUGAAAUGCUUAGAUAUCACGAAGAACUCCGAUGGCGAAGGCAGCCUGCUGGACUGUAACUGACGCUGAUGCUCGAAAGUGUGGGUAGCAAACAGGAUUAGAUACCCGGGUAGUC